rnacentral:rRNA from 1 species
AUCGAACGCUGGCGGCAGGCCUAACACAUGCAAGUCGGGCGAGCGGCGGACGGGUGAGGAUUGGUAGGGGACUGCCCGAUAGAGGGGGAUAAAUACUGGCAACGGUAGCUAAUACCGAAUACUACCGGAGAACCCAUAUGGGAUGAGCUAGUAGGUGGGGUAAAGGCUCACCUUGGCGACUAUCUCUAGCGGGUCUGAGAGGAUCUUCGGCCACACUGGGCCUGAGACACGGCCCAGACUCCUACGGAGGCAGCAGUGGGGAAUAUUGCACAAUGGGCGCAAGCCGGCUGCGGCCAGGCCGGGGGUAUGAAGAAGGCUUUAGGGUUGUAAAGUACUUUCAGCGGGGAGGCGUUACCCACAGAGGAAGCACCGGCUAACUCCGUGCCAGCAGCCGCGGUAAUUC